GACGAACGCUGGCGGCAGGCUUAACACAUGCAAGUCGAACGCGUGCAGCAAUGCACGAGUGGCGCACGGGUGAGUAACGAGUGGAUAUCUGCCUUUUGGUUCGGAAUAACCCCGGGAAACUGGGGCUAAUACCGGAUGGUUCCUACGGGAUAAAGAUUUAUCGCCAAAAGAUGAGUCCGCGUCCGAUUAGCUAGUUGGUGAGGUAAUGGCUCACCAAGGCGACGAUCGGUAGCUGGUCUGAGAGGACGAUCAGCCACACUGGGACUGAGACACGGCCCAGACUCCUACGGGAGGCAGCAGUGGGGAAUAUUGGACAAUGGGGGCAACCCUGAUCCAGCCAUGCCGCGUGAGUGAUGAAGGCCUUCGGGUUGUAAAGCUCUUUUGGCGGGGACGAUGAUGACGGUACCCGCAGAAUAAGCCCCGGCUAACUUCGUG
rnacentral:rRNA from 1 species